rnacentral:rRNA from 1 species
UACGUAGGGGCCGAGCGUUGUCCGGAGUUAUUGGGCGUAAAGCGCGCGCAGGCGGCUUCGCGCGCCCGCCGUGAAAGCCCCCGGCUUAACCGGGGAGAGUCGGUGGGGACGGCGGAGCUUGAGGGCGGGAGAGGUCGGUGGAAUUCCCGGUGUAGUGGUGAAAUGCGUAGAGAUCGGGAAGAACACCAGUGGCGAAAGCGCUCUACUGGGCCUCAUCUGACACUGAGGGACGAAAGCUAGGGGAGCGAAAGGG